rnacentral:rRNA from 3 species
ACGGGAGGCAGCAGUGGGGGAUAUUGCACAAUGGGGGAAACCCUGAUGCAGCGACGCCGCGUGAGUGAAGAAGUAUUUCGGUAUGUAAAGCUCUAUCAGCAGGGAAGAAAAUGACGGUACCUGACUAAGAAGCUCCGGCUAAAUACGUGCCAGCAGCCGCGGUAAUACGUAUGGAGCAAGCGUUAUCCGGAUUUACUGGGUGUAAAGGGAGCGUAGACGGCGAGGCAAGUCUGAUGUGAAAGCCAUGGGCUCAACCCAUGAACUGCAUUGGAAACUGUCUUGCUAGAGUGUCGGAGAGGUAAGCGGAAUUCCUAGUGUAGCGGUGAAAUGCGUAGAUAUUAGGAGGAACACCAGUGGCGAAGGCGGCUUACUGGACGAUAACUGACGUUGAGGCUCGAAAGCGUGGGGAGCAAACAGGAUUAGAUACCCUGGUA